rnacentral:rRNA from 1 species
UACGUAGGGUGCGAGCGUUGUCCGGAAUUAUUGGGCGUAAAGAGCUUGUAGGCGGUCUGUCGCGUCUGCCGUGAAAUUUCGGGGCUCAACCCCGAACUUGCGGUGGGUACGGGCAGACUAGAGUGUGGUAGAGGAGACUGGAAUUCCUGGUGUAGCGGUGAAAUGCGCAGAUAUCAGGAGGAACACCGAUGGCGAAGGCAGGUCUCUGGGCCACUACUGACGCUGAGAAGCGAAAGCAUGGGGAGCGAACAGG